GAUGAGGAACGUAGCGAAAUGCGAUAAGUAAUGUGAAUUGCAGAAUUCAGUGAAUCAUCGAAUCUUUGAACGCACAUUGCGCCCAUUAGUAUUCUAGUGGGCAUGCCUGUUCGAGCGUCAUUAAGUCCACUUAAGCCCUGCUUAGUGUUGGGAGACUGCUCCAGCGGUGCUACCCUGUAGCUACCCUGCAGCUCCUCAAAGACAGCGGCGGAGUUGUGGUAUCCUCUGAGCUUAGUAACUUGUUCUAGCUUUCGAGUACACCACUUCCCCUGCCGUAAAACCCUUAAUUUUUAAUGGUUGACCUCGGAUCAGGUAGGAAUACCCGCUGAACUUAAGCAUAUCAAUAAGCGGAGGA
rnacentral:misc_RNA from 1 species